rnacentral:lncRNA from 1 species
GUGAAGAAUAUAAUUGUUAAAAGCUCAUACAGGAAUAGUUUUAUAUCAGAAAUUUUUUUUUUGAGAGAGACAGUACGCUACUAGCUUCGUUUAUUUCAUUUAGAAAUAAACUUAGCUGAAAAUGUGAAUCAACUAGAAUUCGAACUUGUGACCUCGGAUACCAAUCACCAAGUUUUUUGCCACUUACUUUAGAGACGGUUGGUUAUAUCAGAAAAUUAAUGUGAGUGAAAAUGAUAGACAUAUAUAUUUGCUGGGCACCAAACCCCUAACAAUAUCAUUAAAUGUCUCCGUAAAUGAUUGUGGAGAGGUUUAUUAUUGAUUAUUGGGAAAACUUCAAAAACCCCCUCUGUGGUUUCGUGCAUUCUCACUUAAGUACCAUGUAGUUUACAAUGUAUCAAUUUGUCCUCCUGUGGUUUCGUUUUUAAUUAUCUUUUCAGAAGCUCUUUCGUUAAUAUUUCGUUAAAUUAUAUACAAAAAACUUCAGAUAACCAUCUAUGUUUGUCGAAUAUUCACUUUAGUAUCAUUUAAUUUUAACUUUGUCACUGAUUUAAGAAAAAAAUAAUAAUAAAAUUGAUCACAAAAAGAGAAAAACGAAACCACAGGGGAGCAAAUUGACACGUUUUAAACCACGGGGUACUAAAGUGAGAACGUGCGAAACCACAGCGGGGUUU